rfam:Schistosoma haematobium scaffold75_5, whole genome shotgun sequence.
AUCUAGCUGACGAGUCUCAACUAGGACGAAACACUUAUCCUAGGU